AGCUUUGAGCAUUACCAGUAUCAUAGCCAAUGAGGCUUAUCCGAGGCGUGAUUAUUGCUAAUUGAAAACUUAUCAUUAAGUAGUGUGCAGCUUCCUGCAUUACAGAGAAUGAUAGGCAGUGGACUGU
ensembl:snRNA U4 U4 spliceosomal RNA